GUUGUACGAGGACCGUUCAAGAACCAGAAAACGUUUUUAAUCAUCUCAGCCCUUGUUAACCCUCCCACUAAAGAACAUGACCAGCCUUCUUCUUGAUCUGUGGACAUCACUAUCUUGAAUCCUGAUUCAUGAAUUCUGGCUACUGAAUCUUCCUGAAUCUACACUGUAAUGUCAAUAACUGACAUCAGCAUGAUCCAGACAUCACACGCAUACCACCUACAAGGAGAUUGAAGGAGCUGUACCCCGCAGCAUGUCCUCCAUCCACCAAGCCUUCGACGUCCUCCAGCUCAUCCACCCCACCCGCUGCACCUGUUCCAUUACCAGGCCAGGUAGUGCAAGAUAAACCUGCAGCGUCAACAG